AGAUAGCGACCGGCGCACGGGUGAGUAACACGUAUCCAACCUGCCGAUAACUCGGGGAUAGCCUUUCGAAAGAAAGAUUAAUACCCGAUGGCAUAAUAGAACCGCAUGGUUUGAUUAUUAAAGAAUUUCGGUUAUCGAUGGGGAUGCGUUCCAUUAGGCAGUUGGUGGGGUAACGGCCCACCAAACCUUCGAUGGAUAGGGGUUCUGAGAGGAAGGUCCCCCACAUUGGAACUGAGACACGGUCCAA
rnacentral:rRNA from 1 species